UACGUAGGGUGCAAGCGUUAAUCGGAAUUACUGGGCGUAAAGCGUGCGCAGGCGGUUUUGUAAGUCUGACGUGAAAUCCCCGGGCUCAACCUGGGAAUUGCGUUGGAGACUGCAAGGCUAGAAUCUGGCAGAGGGGGGUAGAAUUCCACGUGUAGCAGUGAAAUGCGUAGAGAUGUGGAGGAACACCGAUGGCGAAGGCAGCCCCCUGGGUCAAGAUUGACGCUCAAUGCACGAAAGCGUGGGGAGCAAACGAGG
rnacentral:rRNA from 1 species